GACGAACCGUGCGACCGUUAUUCGGAAUCACUGGGCUUAAAGCGCGUGUAGGCGGUACGGCACGUCUGUCGCUGAAAUCCCCCGGCUUAACCGGGGAACUGGCGUAGAUACGACCGUCCUGGAGGGGCGUAGGGGGACCUGGAACUUCCGGUGGAGCGGUGAAAUGCGUUGAGAUCGGAAGGAACGCCCGUGGCGAAAGCGGAUCACUGGGUCUUUUCUGACGCUGAUGCACGAAAGCUAGGGGAGCAAACGGG
rnacentral:rRNA from 1 species